UUUCACCCCUGUCAGGUCUAUCCCUGGAUCUCUGCUGGACAUGGCAGGAUUAUACUUGGGAAGUGUUUGUUUUAAGGAGUGUUUGCAUCAUACUAGAAUGUUGUGGAUUGGUUCUAAUGUUGUUUGUGUUAAUUCAGCUCCUGAAAUCACAUGGGAACCCAGUCUGCACUGAGGGUCCCUGCCCCCCAGUUGGCUCUGAUUGGGAAAUAAAGUUGCCAGCAGCCAAUGGCUGGGGAGGGAGACAGAGGUGGGACUUUUAGGAUUCCUGGGCAAGAAACACAGUAGAAGAAGAAGGGAUUCGCCAUGACAAGGGCAUAGGAGAUAGACCACACCUGGAAGGUACGGGAGGGAGAGGCUGAAAGGUAAAGGGGAAAGGAGGGUGGCCCAGGAGGCUGACCAGAAGCAUCCAGGACAGCAAGGAUAAAAUAUAGAUUUAGUAAGUGUUAACUCAGGAAUAUCAGAGGGGAGUGUGUUAGCCACGUAGAGGUUCAGGAGUGGCCCAGUCAUUGAGCUAGUUAAUUCAUAUUAAACUAUAAAGGGUGUGUGUGUGUGUGUGUGUGUGUGUGUUUCCAUGUGUGUGUGUGUGUGUGUGUGUUUCCAUGUGUGUGUGUGUCUGUGUCUGUGUCUGUCUUUCCACUGGGAUCCAGAACCUAAGGGCAUGUGGCAGGAAGCACAAGAGUACCCACCUGGGAGUUUAGAGUGGAUUAACAAUUUACUGCUUCACUAGAACACUAAUUUGGAUAAAUUUAAAACAAAAACCAGUGUCUGGGUGGUGGUGGCACACGACAUUAAUCCCAGCGUUUGAGAGUUCGAGGCCAGCCUGGUCUACAAAGUGAGCUCCAAGACAGUCAAGACUACACAGAGAAACCCUCUCUUGAAAAAGAAAAAGAAAAAACAGUUUUACACAAAGAGUGAAUAAACGUGCCUACACAAAAGCAAUAAGGGCUGAAGUUUUGAUUCCUAGAGUACAUGAAAACUCUCUAUAAUUUCACCCUCAGAAGCUGGAGGCUGGGUCCUUGGCAUGAGCUAGGUAGCAAGGCUAGCCCUAUCAGUGAGCUCUGGGUUUGGCUGGAGGACCCUGCCUCACUAUAAGGCUGGGUGCAACUGAGGAAGAUCCCUGACACCAUCAGGCUUCUAUACACAUGGCUGAUACAAAGGAAUGGAGGUGGGCGAGAAAGGAGGGGCCACAGGAGGAGGGAUGCUGGGAGACCAUCCAAACCAUGACUUUCCAAACUAUUGAUUCAUCAGCAGAUACUUUUCCACUCCAAACACAACUUCCCGUUGAUUCAUUUAUUUUUUCGUGCUGGAGAGCACACCUAGGACCUAUAGAUGGGUGCUGUGACACUGAGCUGAGCUUCCAGUCCUGUAACUUUCCUUCUCUGAAAAAAAUAAUGGCAAACUUUCUCUGAUGGAAAUGUCUAGUUGCUAUUUGCCCGCUUUCAGAUAAUACUGUUUAGAUCUUUCGGCAGAGCAAAGGGAGCUCUUUAAGUGAUUGUAUUUGGGAUAUGGGAAUCUGUACAGACAGAGAAUCUGAAGCCAGCACAUGACCAGCUUGGGGGAAGGGCAUGGUGGAUAAGAGUGACCCCCAUAGGCCUGUGCAUUUGAAUGCUGAGUCAUCAGAGAGUAGCACUACUUGAGAGGGGUUAGGAGGUGUGGCUUUGUUGGACUAGGUGUGGCCUUCUUAGAGGAAGUGAAUCAAUGGAGGUGGACUUUGAGGUUCCAAAAGCCCAAGCCAGUCUAUGUGUCUCUCUCUCUUCCAGCUGACUCUGGAUCCAGGCGUAGAACUCUCAGCUCCUGCCUGCAUGCUACCAUGCUUCCUGCCAUGCUGAUAAUAGACUAAUCCUCUGAAACUGCAAGCCAGCCCCGAUUAAAUGUUUUCCUUUAUAAGAGUUGCCACUGUCAUGAUGUUUAUUCACAGCAAUAGAGCACUGACUAAGACACCAGCAUAUUGGAAUUUAUUCUUAGCAUGGUCAUCAGUUAUAGGUGCAUAAACCCAGGCAGUAGGUUUAGAUCUUGCCACUGACUUGUCUUGCACGGUAAUCAAGAAAAGUAUUUUUCUUUUAUUAUACAAUUUUGACAAACAACAAAAAAGAGGGGCAGAUUCCGCCUUUAGUCUUAAUGUUAUGUGUCAGGAUGCCUGUAUCAGCAGACUCCUCAGAGGUGGGGAAAUAGAUGUGGUGAUGCACACCUGGAGUCCCAGUGUUCUGAAGCAGGAGGCUCACUAGUCACAGGCCCACCAGGCCUACAUAGUGAGAACGCAUUUUCCACUCCCCAAGGCAGAAAUCUCAGAGAUACAAUGUUUGUUCUAGCAGAACUGAAAAGUGUUUCAUGGUUAGGCAAUUGGGAUGGGGUAUGCAUCACCUGAGCUGUUAUAAGACACUGUGAAAACACCCUAUGCUCAUCUCAACCAUUCCCAAAGCAGCCUUCUAGCAAGAUGUGCUUGGGACAAGAGUCACCUGUCCUCUAGCACUGAGCCAACUUGACACCAUCGACUUUCCUGUUCUCUCUCAGCUUGAUGGACCCAUGUGUGGGAGCAGCCUAACUUGAUUUGAUAGCAGAGUUCCUUUAUACACACCUGUGUGUCAGUUCUAUGGACAUUUGAUGUUUACUUCUGUCCCUGGAAACAAAGAUCACAGGAACGGCUUCCUGGCUCUAUCCAAUGGGAAAUGAUGCAGCCAUGUAGGAAAAGGUAGUAAAACUAUGGUAAGAAGCACCGAGGGAUGAGGAGCUAUGAGGAUCAGGUAAGUAGAAAACAGCAGAGAUGAAGACAAGGAAAGGGGAGUGACAGUUUAACUACAGGACAGCUGUCUGCCGUGUGGAGAACAGAGAAGGUACUAUCAGGACACUUCAGGCAGAGGGACUAACCGAGGCUAAUAAGGCAGGAAAGUCACGGUGUAUUGGGGCAGAGUGCUCUGACCUGGACUGGACAACAGGCUUCGCAUACACAGGAAGCAGCUGCCCACAAUGGCAAGGACCCUUUGUGCUUCAGUCUGUACCUGGAGCCUGAGAGCUGCUGAAGGCUUCCUAACAGCUUACAUUUUUGCAAGCUGUAUAAUGUGCACAACCUUGAGUAUACCUUGGAGGGUGUAGGGUGAAGAAUGUGAGUCUCCAGAGGAGACCAAGUGUGGGGCCUCAGGUUGGGAGCUAAGUAGGGAAGACAAACUAACUCUCUCUCUCUCUCUCUCUCUCUCUCUCUCUCUUCUCUCUCUCUCUCUGGAAAAGGGCCUUGCUGUGUAGCACUAGCUGGCUUAGAACUCACUGUGUAAACCUGUUGUGUGACAAAUGCUUCCUGAGGAGGCUGAACCUGUCUUCCUGAGACAUUCCUGAAUAAGCAACCAGCCUGGUGACCAAGUGUUGACAGCAUGCAGCAUGGCGACAAGCACCAAGGAUGGACUGGCGGGUGGCGG
rnacentral:lncRNA from 1 species